rnacentral:rRNA from 1 species
UGCCGCGGGCAGGAGACGGCUUUCUGAGUUGUAAACUGCUUUUGUACGGGAAGAAAAAAGCCAUGCGUGGCGAAUUGCCGGUACCGUACGAAUAAGCACCGGCUAACUCCGUGCCAGCAGCCGCGGUAAUACGGAGGGUGCAAGCGUUGUCCGGAUUUAUUGGGUUUAAAGGGUGCGUAGGCGGAUCUUUAAGUCAGUGGUGAAAUCCUGCAGCUUAACUGUAGAACUGCCAUUGAAACUGGAGGUCUUGAGUAUACUAGAGGUAGGCGGAAUUUAUGGUGUAGCGGUGAAAUGCAUAGAUACCAUAAAGAACACCAAUAGCGUAGGCAGCUUACUGGAGUAUAACUGACGCUGAGGCACGAAAGCAUGGGUAGCGAACAGGAUUAGAUACCCUGGUAGUCCAUGCCGUAAACGAUGAUUACUCGAUGUUGGCGAUAUACAGUCCGCGUCCAAGCGAAAGCGUUAAGUAAUCCACCUGGGGAGUACGCUCGCAGGAGUGAAACUUAAAGGAAUUGACGGGGGUCCCCCCAAGCGGGGGAGCAUGUGGUUUUAAUUUCAAUGAUACGCGAGGAACCUUUACCUUGGGCUAGAAUGUGAAUGGAAUACUGAAGAAAUUUCGUUAGUCUUCCGAACACAAAAAAGGUGGUUGCAUGG